AACCCGUGAUUGCUGGGACUGGCUCAAGCUCCACCAGGAGCCGUCGUUCUUUUACAAAGAGGGGUGGAGGUUCCAGUGGAGGCUGUUGUUGCCUUUUUUUUUUUUUUUUUAAUGAAUGGAGGGCGGCGGCGACUGCUGCAGCUGGGCCAGCUGCGCGGGCUGCACCCCCUCCCAGCCUGCGAGAGGAGGAAGCUAGUAGAAGAUUUGUACCAACAAAACCAAGGAGUAAACAACUUGAGAAUAACUGCAUGAGCUCAGGGCUUGGACUGUCAGAUUCCAUUUCUAAGCUUCCAGAAGAGCGACACAUAGACACUGGGGAAGUCAGAGCCUUUGAACUCCAAUGCCAUCCCCGUCACCCACCUCCACCACCAGCACCACCACCGAAUGGCACUUUGGACAAUUUUUCCCUCUCAUGUGACUUUUGUCAUUUCUUACGUCAGUUGGAGCCAGCACCUCUCAAAUCCAUCUUCUAAAACCCAGAAAAUUGUGUGUAACACAUGAUGACUGAAAGGGAGUAGGCUGACCAGUUAAGAGCCUGCCACUGGAAUGGAAGGCUGUGGGAAGGUGAGGGGACGGUGGACAUCAACCGGGAAGAGCUGAAAGAUGGCGUUACCAGAUAAGGAAACUGAGUCUCAGGGAGGUCAAGAGACAUGCCAAAGCACAGCUUGGAAGUGGUCCAAAGAUAGACAACUAACUCAAAAUUGUAUCUUCGCUUUAAUCACUGCUCUGGUGAUAUUUGCAUUAAUGAAAGAGAAAAGAAAGCAUCCCCAACAGAUGGAAAAGGCGGCUCUCUGACUAGUGAAAGGCGGAGUCUCACUUUGUCCCCCAGGCUGGAGUGCAGUGGCGCGAUCUUGGCUUGCUGAAACCUCCGCCUCCCAGGUUCAAGCGAUUCUCCUGCCUCAGCCUCCCAAGUAGCUGGGACUACAGGUGCGUGUCACCAUGCCCAGCUAAUGACAGGGUUUUACUAUGUUGGCCAAGAUGGUCUCGAUCUCUUUUUUUUUUUUUUUUUUUUUUUUUUUUGAGAUGGAGUUUUGCUUUUGUUGCCCAGGCUGGAGUGCAAUGGCAUGAUCUCAGCUCACCGCACCCUCCACCUCCACCUCCCCCUCCCCCUCCCAGGUUCAAGCGAUUCUCCUGCCUCAGCCUUCCCAAAUAGCUGGGAUUAUAGGCAUGUGCCACCAAGCUCCGCUAAUUUUGCAUUUUUAGUAGAGAUGGGGUUUCUCUGUGUGGAUCAGGCUGGUCUGGAACUCCUGACCUCAGGUGAUCCGCCCACCUUGGCCUCCCAAAGUGCUGGGAUUACAGGUGUGAGCCACCGCGCCCGGCCAAAGGACUGCUGCCUCCUCCUCAGGGAAUCGAACCCCAGUCUCCCGCGUGACAGGCGGGGAUACUCACCACUAUACUGAUGAGGACGACAGUCUUGAUCUCUUGAUGUCGUGAUCUUCCCGCUUCGGCCUCCCAGAGUGCUGGGAUUGCAGGCAUGAGCCACCGCACCCAGCCUCCAAAUUACCUUUUUAAACAAGCUUUUUCUUAUAAAAUGUUCACUGUAAUCUAUUAAAAGUAAAAGGCAAAAUACAAGUUAAUGUUAACGUUUUGAUCAAAAUUAUUUCAAAACUAAAGAAAUAACAUUUUGAAAAUUUAAUCUUAGUUUUACUUCAAUGAGAUAUUUAAUACCUGAAAUUCCAGUGCUUAAUGUCCAUUUAAUUUCCAAAGAAAAGAAUUGGCAUUGGCUGGUGCAGUGGCUCGUACCUGUGAUCCUAGCAUUUUGGGAGGCAGAGGCAGGCAGACUGCUUGAGCUAGGAGAUCAGCCUGGGCAACGUGGUGAAACCCUGACUCUAACAAAAAUACAAAACUUAAUCGGGCAUGGUGGUGAGCGCCUGUAGUCGCAGCUACUUGGGAGGCUGAGGUGGGAGGAUCACUUGAGUCCAGCAAAAAAAAAAAAAAAAAAUCGGUGUUAUUGGUAUUAUGCAUCCUUCAAGUUUUAUUUUAUAAAUAUAUUUCCCAUAUCUAUGUGAGAUAAUGUAUCUGCAUUUAUGAUACAUAUGUAUGCAAUGUGAUAUAAUUUUGCAAAAUAUCCCUCUGCCACCAUGUGCAACUGGUGCUAAUUUAGUAGCACUGAUUUGUGAGUCCUCUGGAACCAUGAAUAGGAACAGAAGCAAAAAAAUGGAUAUUCAGUUCUCCUGAAUAUCCUAUUCAUGCUCCUAUUCAUUUUGCAAGAAUGUAUUGCAUUUGUGCUGAGAGGAAGGAUUUGACAAGCUAAUUUGUCUUUUCUUUUCCCUAAGUGCUCUACCACUCCAAUCCUUCCCACACUCCACUGCAGCAUUGGUCUCUGGUGUUGGCAGUGGCAUAAUCCACAAACCUUCUUAUUUAGACACAGUUACCUUUUGUUUUGAGGGGACAGGGGAAGAGGUGUGAAGUGUUUCUCUGGGGCCUGACUGGUGUUAGGUGUUACUUGUGCUAGGUGUUACUUGUGACAACAUCAUGCCGUGUGACCCUCGAUGACAGAGGUGCCCACGUGUUGUUUAACUUUUACGCAUGUGUUUGAAAUAGGUGGGACCCUGAAGCACAGGGCCCAGGGCAGGGGCCUCUCUUGUCUGGUUCUAAGGGCAGUACUCUUGUUUUCCAGAAACCCUCAGUAGGCUUCCUUUUACAUUUCAUUAGAUAGAAUUAAUCACUGCCAGAAAGAAGGUAAAUUUCUGUAACUUCCUUCUGCCAAUCAUGAGUCAUUCUCUGGGAUGAGCACAUGGUCUCUGGACAAAAUUGGGGUUCUGUUAGUGAGGAAGAAGAAAUGGCUGGACAGUCAACCAGUGAUAUCUCCACAAUUAUUAUUCCCAUUUUUUUGAAGGGGAAAUUGAAGCUUAGAAUGGUUAAGGUUGUAUACCUGGAAGUGGUGGAACUGUGGUUUGAACCAAGGAAGGUUGGCUAAGGAAUCUAACUUAACCACUCUACUUGCUGUUUCCCAUGGCUGAGGAGCAGGAGUUAGCUGUACUGGAGUUUGAGAAAAUCCCAGGCAGAGGAAAUAGCAUGUGCUGCAGCCCAGAGAAGCAAGGGGUGGCAUGGUCUCACUGCAGAUUGAGAGAUGCCGAGUGACUCAAGUCUGUUGUGUGAGGGGAGUGCUGGGAGAUGAGGCUGGAGAGGGUGUGCAUCUGGGGCUGCUGAGUGGAGAUGGGAGGGGACAAGAUUGGGAAUGGCAUGGGCUGGAAGACUGUUGAAAGAUUUUACUAGGGAAGAGAUCCAGGUAACCUGAAAUAGGAGAGGCAGAAGGGAAGGCAUGCAAUCAAGAGAGAUUUAGAAAGCAGAAUUGGGAUUUGAUGAUAUGAAGGUGGAGGAGAAUCACCUGAGUUUAUGGCUUGGAAAUGGGUUACCAUUCAGAAACAGAAGGCAGUGUUACCAGUGGAAGGUCUUGACCAUGAGUUGUCCAGGUUCUUGGCAUUUUGAACAAAGAAUUGGACAACACACACAAAGCAAUGAAAGAAUGAAGCAAUGAAAGCACAGAUUUAUUGAAAUGCAAGUACACUCCACAGAGUGGGAGUGGGCUGGAGCAAGCCCUGGUUACAGAAUUUUCUGGGGUUUAAAUACUCUCUAGAGGUUUCCCAUCGGUUACUUGGCUACAACCUAUGUCAAUGAAGACUUGGUCCAUGACCAGUCUGUUUGGUUGUGGGAGGUGACCAAUUAGAGGCUGAAGUGAAGUUACAGAGUUACAACCUAUGCAAAUGAAGACUUGGCCAGGGACCAGUCUGAUUGGUUGUGGGAGGGGACCAAUCAGAGGUGCUUUCCAUUUUUCAUUUGCAAUGCAGAAAGGGGGUGGGGUUGCAAAAGGAGUAGCCUCUGAUCCUUUUGUUACUUGGGCGUAGAGAGGUAAGAUUUUCCUUUUGAUUCAGUUCUAGGAAGUCAGCACAAAUCAGCCUUAGGUUCCCUACCUUCAGACCCUAUUCUCCUGCCUUAACAGUACCAGGUGAGGGCAUAGGGGAGAAGGAGUCCACUUUUUAUUUUUUGAGUCUCAUUUUGGACAUGUUGAGUUCAAGGACAUAGAGUGGAGCUGUCCUGUAAACAUUAGAGUCUGAAACUCAGGAGAGACAUCUGGACUAGAGAGAAAUGUGGGCUGCUUCAACACGUAGAACCCCUGGGUUCCAUGGUGGGUGAGAGUGUGUAACACAUGAAAAGAGAGUCUAGGACAGAGCCGUGUUUAAGGAAAGGAGGCCCACAGAGGAAACCGAGAAGACAUGCCUCACAUAGAAGAAGCCAGGAGAAUUUGGUGACACUAACACUGAGGAAAGGGAGUUUUAAGCAGGAAAGAAAGAUAAGGCCUGAGAAGUACCACAAAGGUCAUUGAUGAUGACAGCAAGAGUGUGACAGCCAGAUAACAGAAGGUUGAUGGGAAUGUAGCUCCUUCAUUCAAGAUAUUAAAUAUGAAGGGAAGGGUAUGUGAGGAUCCAGGAAAGCUUUUUUUUUAAAAAAAACAAAACAAAACAAAACAAAAACCAUGCAGGAAGAUUGGAGCAUGUUAAAUUGCUUCUGAGAGGUAGACUUCUGGUAGAACAGAAGUUGAAGAUAGAGACGAGGUGGGUAGUGGAAAGUGUGAGGACCUGAGAAGGUGGGGAAGAGUAUGGGAUCCUGACUCAGAUAGAAAGAGGACUCCCAUUGGAACAGGUAGAGUAGAGACCAGGAGAAUGGGUGGGACUGGGACAUUGAGGAACUUCCUUUAAGAUGGUUUGUUUCCUAUAUAAAGUAGCUGCAAGAGAGGGAGUGGUGGGUCAGAUGUUUAGGGAAGUUGAAUUGCAAUUGUCUCCUGUAAGGACAGGAGAGCUGAGUGGGGAGCAGGGCUGGCUUCAUGAGUGGGCAGCUUGAGCAGUCGCACGGGUCCCUACACUUAAAAGGGCUUCUUGCUUUGUAUAAUGCUCUGGCAUCACUGUCUUGAAAUUGUUAAUGAUUUUUGAACACAGGCCGCUUCAUUUUCAUAUUUGUUUUGAGUGUAAGUGUGUCCCAUGCAAUAUCUGGGACAUACUGAGAUUAACAGUUACUCACAGCUGGGCACGGUAGCUCACGCCCGUAAUCCCAGCACUUUGGGAGGCCAAGGUGGGUGGAUCCCCUGAGGUCAGGAGUUUGAGACCAGCCUGGCCAACAUAGCGAAACCCCAUCUCUACUAAAAAUACAAAAAAAUAGCUGGGCGUGGUGGCGGGCGCCUGUAAUCCCAGCUACUCAGGAGGCUGAGGCAGGAGAAUCGCUUGAACCCAGGACACAGAGGCUGCAGUGAGCUGAAAUCGUGCCAUUGCACUUCAGCCUGGGCAACAAGAGCAAAACUCAGUUUCAAACAAACAAACCAAUUACUCUUUAUCUGGAAUUCCAAUUCGGUAUCCUGUAUUUUAUCUGGCAACCCUAACUGGGCGCUACAAAUUAUGUAGCUGGUGCUGCUGGGAAGACAGGAGAAUUGCAAAGUGGUGUCACAGGCCCUGGGGAGGUUUCCUCUGUGAAGUAUCUGAGAGUGGGGAAGUGAUGGGUGUAGAGAUUGGACUUGUGGCUCUAAGUUGUGGGGCUGUGGAAUGGUCUCCAGCAGGGCCAGCCACCUGAAUGUCUAGACAGUGCAGGAAAGGCAGGUGGCUUAGAAUAUCUGGGUUGUCUCCAGAUAUCUCACUUGGGUGAGACCGAAAGCCCUUACCUUGGUUGGUGAGGCCCUGCCGUCCCUCUCACCCUUGCAUAUAGCAGCCCGCUGCUCUGCUGGCUCUUCUGCAAACACCCUUUGCUCCCUUAGUCUCAGGGCCUCUGCUCUGGCGGUUCUCUCUGCCUGGAAUGUUCUUCCUGUAGUAUCCCCAAGGCUCAUGCCCCUUGUUCCCCCUGGGAACCUGAGAGGCCUUCCCUGAUUACUUUAUUACUUCCUGCUCCAUCUUUCUUUAUGUCACUUCCCACCUCCUGACAUAUUAUAUAUGUGUAUUUUCUGUCUCUUUCCAUUAAAAUGAAAGUACUGUGAGAAUGAGAGGUUGGUCUUGCUCACUGUUGUUGAACUGAUAUGUAAAAUAAUGAUACAUGGGCCAGGCAAAGUGGCUCACACCUAUAACCACCACUUUGGGAGGCCGAGUUAGGUGGAUCACCUGAGGUCAGGAGUUCAAGACCAGCCUGGGCAACAUGGUGAAACCCCAUCUCUACUAAAAAUACAAAAAUUAGCCAGGGGUGGUGGUGGGUGCCUGUAAUCCCAGAUACUUGGGAGGCUAAAGCAGAGAAUUGCUUGAACCCAGGAGACGGAGGUUGCAGUGAGCUGAGAUCACGCCACUGGACUCCAGCCUGGGCAACAGAGCGAGACACCGUCUCAAAAAAAAAAAUUAGUUGGGCAUGGUGAUGUGUGCCUGUAGAACCAGCUACUCGGGAGGAUUGCUGGAGCCCAGGAGUUGGAGGCUGCAGUGAGCUACGAUUGUGCCACUGCACUCCAGCCUGGGUGACAGACUGAGACUCUGCCUCUUAGAAAAUUAAAAAAAAAACAAAAAACAACAACAACAAAAAAAUUAUUACCUAGAUUUUGGUAGUAGUAUUUGGGCAUUUCUAGUGAAUGUUAGCUAAUAACUCACUUUGCCUGGGUGACAGAGUAACCCAGCCCUGUGGCAUCACUCAUGCUUACCACUGCCAAUGAAUGUCUGUGCCAAAAAUCAGAUUUGAUCUUAAAGCAGGAGAGAUUUGUUUAGGUGGAAAUCCGUUUUUGGUUUCCUUUCCAUUAUCGCUCAUUCCGUCUGGGAAGAGAACACCUUUUCUUGUGGAGUUGGAUGGGGCUGACCUUUGCCCUGUGUCCUUAAGAGUAGGCAGGUGGUCUGAGUCAGUUGAGUCCUUCCUGGUACUUCUCUGCCAGAGUUGUUGGGGAAGAUGGUCUAUUUCUGCUGGACCUGGUAGGAUGUGAAUGUGAGGCUGUUGAUUAAUAUCCUGCUCACUAAGUGGAGAAAGGGCAGGGAGAGCUGAUGUUUGAGGCCUUAGAUCCAGCCACUCCCUAGUGACAUGAGCUAAUGAAUUCUUUUUUUUUUUUUUAACUUAUGCCAGAUUGACUUUAGUUUCUGUCACUCACAGCUGAGCAAGCUCUGACCCAUACAUGUUAUGUUGCUCAGGCUGUAAUGCAGUGGCUAUUCAUAGACAUGAUCAGAUCAUAGUGCACUGCAGCCUUGAACUCCGGGGCUCAAGCAAUCCUCUUGUCUCAGCCUCUCAAGUAGCUGGGACUAUAGGCACACGUCACUGCACCCAGCCCACACAAUUUCGAUUGAAAAAUUAGAACAACUUGACCUGUGAGAUAAUAGUAGAAGAUUAGACAGUUAACUGAAUUAAUGAGUUGUGAGAGGAGCUUCUCCUGAUUUCCCUGAUUCUUUUUAUUAUGGGAGUGGGAGCAGGGGCAGAGGGUAGAGAUGGGGAUGAAUGAAGGAGACUAAAGUGAGCCCACAGGUGUGGCCUUUGCCAGAUGGCGGUGGGGAUGCUGGGGCCCCAGUUCCUUCCCAGCUGUGGCUCGCUGGCAAUGGCUGAGGAGCCUGGGGUCAGCAGGCAGCUGGAUUGGAGAGAGCUCUCCACUGUAAGCCAGCUCCGGGCUCCUGUCCUGUUUCUGUGUCUGCCUUGGGGCACAUCUUCAAUUUCCUGAGCCCUUGCUUUCCAUUUCCUAAAGUGGGAGCGCUGACAGCGCCCUGCCGACCUCCGAGUUUGUGAGAGAGCCUCCCAGGAGCUGAUGAGAAUCUCUGAAACCAUCGUGAGAACUAUCAGGACUCUAUAGCUGUAAGGUCGUUUGUCUCUCUCAUUUGAUUGAAGGCUGGGCUAGACAAGUGCUAGGAAGACCCUCAGGACUUGGGCUGGGAUCUGACCUUCAUGAAUUGCAGACUAUAGACCUUAGGUAAAAAGUGGGCAAGAAGAGGCCGGGCGCGGUGGCUCACGCCUGUAAUCCCAGCACUUUGGGAGGCGAGGCGGGCGGAUCACGAGGUCAGGAGAUGAAGACCAUCCUGGCUAACGCAGUGAAACCCCGUCUCUACUAAAAAUACAAAAAAUUAGCCGAGCAUGGUGGCGGGCGCCUGUAGUCCCAGCUACUCCAGAGGCUGAGGCAGGAGAAUGGCGUGAACCCGGGAGGCGGAGCUUGCAGUGAGCUGAGAUCACACCACUGCACUCCAGCCUGGGCGACAGAGCGAGACUCUGUCUCUAAAAAAAAAAAAAAAAGUGGGCAAGAGGAAGCCUAAAAUGUAUGGCCCAUGGCCUGAAAGUUCUCAGGGGUCAUGGAUGAGGAUGUGAAAGAAGUUUGCUGGGCAGGGCAGUCUCUGGCCUGGGGCAGGUUUCUGGCUGGAGUAGUUAAUUCAGUGCCUUUUACUUGUUAGAAAGACAGAAAGAUACUUUUUCCCCUCUUUCUUUUAAAAAGUAAUAGGGUUUUCUGAAUACAAAAGAGUCACAUAUCUAUUUAAGAAUUUUGGGCUGGGCACCGUGGCUCACGCAUAUAAUCCCAGCACUUUGGGAGGCAGAGGUGGGUAGAUCUCCCAGGAGUUCCAGACCAGCCCAGGCAACAUGGCGAAACCCCCUCUCUACAGCAAAUACAGAAAUUCGCUGUGCAUGGUGGCACACGCCUGUAGUCCCAGCUACUCGGGAGGCUAAGACCAGAAGAUGACUUGAGCCCAGGAGGUCAAGGCUGCAGUGAGCUGUGUUCACACCACUGCACUCCAGCCUGUGUGACAGAGCGAGACCCUGUCUCAAACAAAAAAAGAACUUUGAAAAUAAAAAGACGUGUAAGGAAAUCAAAACCACUCAUGAUUAUCCAACUCUCAUAAAUAACACUGGUAAUAUUUUUGUCUAUCUCCUGGUAUUUACUUCAUUGUGCCUAUGUGUCAUGUAUAUGAGAGAUGGCUUACAAAAUUUGAUAUGUACAGCUUCAGAAUCUGUUUUGUACAUAAUGUAAACAUCUUCCUGUAUCUUUAGAUUUUUCUUACAGCCUGAUUUUUAGUUGUUAUGUAACAGUUUUAACUGUUCUGCCAUAUAUAAUAUAUUCCUUUUAUUGGAUAGAAGACUUUCCAAUUUUUUAGCAUUAUAAAAUCAUAUUGUGGUUAAAUCUUUACAGAUAAAUCUUUGUGCAUGUGGAAUUACAGGGUCGAAUGGGAUGUCCAUGUAAGAAUUUUUGUAUGCUCUAAUUGACCUAAAGAAAUGCUAAUUUGCCUUCCUAUUGUUGUGUGAGGGGGCAUAAUGAUUCUCUGAAUCCUGGCCCUUGCUGGGUAUUAUUGGAUUUUUAGGACUUCGCCAAAUGCUAGAUGGGAGAAGCUUUGCUUUUUUUAAUUUUUUUUUUAUACAGGUCUUGCUCUGUCGCCUAGGCUGGAGGGCAGUGGUACAAUAAUAGCUCACUGCAGCUUUGAACUCCUGGGCUCAAGCUAUCCUCCUGCCUCAGCCUCCUGAGUAGCUGGGACUGCAGGCAUGCCACUAUGUCUGGCUAAAUUUUUAUUUUUGUAGAGACGGGGCCUCACUAUGUUGCCCAGGCUGGUUUCGAACUUCUGGUCUUGAGCAAUCCUCCCACUUCGGCUUCCCAAAGUGUCGGCAUUACAGGUGUGAGGCACCAUGCCUGGCCUUGUUUUUAUUUUAUUAUGCCUUUUUUUCUGGUUCCCAGUAAGGUCAUUUUUUUCCCCCAUAUAAUUAAUAGCUAUUUUUAUGUUUUUGUGAAUUGAUUUACGUAUCCUUUAUUCAUUUUCCUAUUGGGGUGCUUGUAUUUUUCUUACUGAUUUAUGCAGACUCUGUAAUAAAAAUAUUAACCCUUUGUGGGGAUCAAUACAUUUUUAAUAGUGUGAUGAAAUAUUUUAAUAAUGGAUCAAAGCAGAAGGCUUGAUUCCAGGGGAAAAAUUUUUUAAGCUACCCGCCUCUUUCCCUACACAUAAAUCCAGAGAUAAGUAGUAUCUUAGUACUUAAACAUGUCUUAAAGCAUGGACAGGCUCCCUUCCUUCCUUCCUUCCUUCCUUCCUUCCUUCCUUCCUUCCUUCCUUCCUUCCUUCCUUCCUCUCUUCUUCUCUCUCCUCCUUUCUGUCCUCAUUUCUCUCCUCCUUUCUCUUUCUCUCCUUCUUCCUCUUUCUCUCCUCUCUUUCUUUCUUUCUCCCUCUCUUUCUCUCUUUCUCUCUCUUCCUCUUUUUCUCUCUUUCUGUUUCUCUCUCUCUCCCUCUCUCUUUCUCUCUCUCUCUUUCUUUAUUUUUUUUAUUUUUUAUUUUUUUGAUGGAGUCUCGCUCUGUCUCCCAGGCUGGAGUGCAGUAGCACGAUCUCUGCUCACUGCAACCUCCAUCUCCCAGCUUCAAGCUAUUCUCCUGCCUCAGCCUCCCGAGUAGCUGGGAUUACAGACGUGUGCCACCACGCCUGACUAAUUUGUGUAUUUUUAGUAGAGAUGGGGUUUUGUCACAUUAGCCAGGCUGGCCUCAAACUCCUGACCUCAGGUGAUCCGCCUGCAUCGGCCUCCCAAAGUGUUGGGAUUACAGGCGUGAGCCACCGUGCCUGGCCAUUACCUUUGUUUCAUGGGUGAGUUAGUCUGGCAACUAGACUAGGGCAACCCACCCACCCCACCCCUAGAGCUGGUCACAGGCACAGCUGAGCUUGAACUUGGGCUUCACACGUGUGUUUACACGCACCACUUGUCAUUGCCUGUGACUUUCCUGUCCCUGCUCCUCCUCUUUCAAACACUCCCUGGAGCCAUUUAGUGCCUAGAUGAUGCGUGUUUUUAUACCAGCCACUCUACUCGAAAGCAAAAUCUGUUUGAAAGCUGUGUUACAGGUUUUUCCAGAACUUCCAGUUUUUAAGAAUCUCUUCCCCUUGCUGCAGCUUCCUUUGUACCAUGCAGCCACUGGCUCCAAAGGGACCUUCUACCAGGGAAUUUGAUUACUUGGAUAGAGCCCUUCUGUCGACCACUGACCUCAGGGCUAGCUCCCCAAAACGUCGCCUUCUCUACGCUCGUUUCUGCAAAGUAGCAACAGGUCAGUUAGGAUGUGGAUUUUCUUGCUCUCUCAAAGGUUCUUUUAUUUAAAUAUGUUCAUACAUUUUUCUCCUACCGCUCUCUUUCCUGAAAGAAUGAAGUUAGAGGAUUAGGUUGCUAAGUUUAGCUCUUGCUGACGCACUGGCCUCUCACUAGCAGUCUCCUCGUGUCUCAGUGUUUCUUUAAGCCUCGCUUUUUUGCUGGUAGACGCACACCAUCACAUCCUACAUAAUAUUUAGCUCUGAGGCGUUUCCAGAUGGGAAGUGCGUUUCUGUAUUUUCAUAGCCGUGUUCUCUACGUGAAUGGACUGGCGUGAAGCUGGGGGCUGACGGCUGGCAGGGCAGGUAGGGAGGCUGGCAGCGGCCUGAGAGAGGUGAAGAUCCCCGGGGUGGUGGCGGGGAAAGCAAUGCAGUCCUUGUCAGAUGUUUGCUUGCUGUGAGGAGAGGGAGAUGGCUAUGAGAGGAGAUCUGGGGAUGGUAUUUGACUGGGAUAUGAAUGGAGCAUUUUCAGGCAGGGGAGGCCCUCCUACUUGAAGCAAGCCUGAGUGUUGUUAAAGAAAAAAAUUAUUCUGGCACUUGUAAAAAUGGUAAGGAAGACUUUAGUCAGGAGUCUUGCAACAGGGUUAUUGCAAUAGGGGAGAGAGAUGGGGCUCAACUCUAAAUGCAGCAAGACAGUUGAGGAUUUACAGCUAAGAAACAGAGAAGAGGGGGUCAGUGGAUGGAAAGUUACUAAGAGGAGACAUCAAGGGAACGGGAUUCUCACUAAACAGACCUAAAAGGACUCUUGCUAAGGGCAGGCCAAGGACUUACACACCCAAGGUAGGGGAUGAAGCGCUUUAUCAGGCAUCAAGGGUAGGGGACUCCCUAAACUGAAUUUGCAGGAUUCUUGCUAAGACUGGGCUCUGCAGGCCUGGCAAGGACAGGAGGGACACAGAAGGCCAACGUUCAGAAGAAGGCUCAGAAGAGCCUAACUAAAGUUUGGUCAAAGAAAGGGUUUUUGUCAGUGCUUCCUCUCGUUCAAGGAAAGAAAAAUUCUUCUUUUCUCUGAGUAAUAUAGGUCAAUUUUUUGUUCGGUCGCCUUUUGUUCAUUAAGGACCAGCUUGAAUGUCUGUUGGGGCCUGGCGGUAGAGGAUACUUGAUGGACAACCAUCAGGCAUUUAAACGAGGGAGAUUCAUGGUCUGCUGUGGUGAUGGGUCCUUUGAAGUUUAUGUCAAGUCACCCAGCUUGCAAGCCUAGUUUAGAUCUUGGGGGGAAGAUCAGCUAUAAGACAGCCUAGAGUUGCAAUGAGGAUUUGGGCAGUCAGCCUUUAGCUCUCAGUGACAUCAGGAGGGUGGGAGAAAACGUAAAAAGUAGAAAAAUUGAGAAGUUGGUAAGAACUGAUGAAAUGUGCAGAAUGGCAAAUCCAGUCCAAUUCACAGUAGGUAACAAAGUAAACAGUAAAAUGUAAUUUAUCAAGAGGUGAAAAAAGCUCAAAGGCAAUGAACGGGACUAGAAUUCGAUAAUCUGCAAGGAUGUGCUAUAGUUUUCUAUUGAAAUACAAACAAGCACUGGUCCCUGGAUGGGCGUGUUGAAAUGUCAGCAUGGAGGGUGGCCUGGUGUUAGACAGGUCUCGGUUCAAAUCCCAUCACCUUGCCGGAGAUGCUGGGCAGAUUGGUUGCUCUCCUAGUGUCUGUUUCUUUAGCUGUGAGACAUAAUGAAAGCUAACAUUUAUUAUUUCUCAUGUGCCAGGCACUGCCAUAAGCAUUUCACAUGCUUUACCUCGUUUAAUCCUCACAACUUAGUGAAGCAGGUUAAUCAUCAUCUCCAUUUCGCAGAAGAGUAAACUGAGGCUUUAAUAUAUCCUAUAAUAUGUCCACAGAUGUUGCUAACCUGCAAGUAGAGAUUGAAGCUCAUGUACUUAAAAUGAGUUUGGCACUUUUCAGGUACCUGAUAAAUGUAAAACAUUUUUUUCCUCCAAAGUAUAUGUGGGAAAACUGAAGCUAUAGAGUGUGCCUGAGCCCAGCCAGAUUCAGUAGGCGGGGCUCUCCCCCAAAAAGGGAAAAUCCUGAGACACUCAUCAGUGGAGGGAUGGAGCCUACUGUGAGGGUUCUGGCAGAGCCCCUGCGUUUUGUCCUCUGGGGGCAGCUCUCCUGGGAGUUGGAGAGAGGCUUUGACCCAGCCUUUGCUGGCCACUGGGCAGGACCUAGCUGGGAGCAAGUGCCAGGGCCAGCAGAGGCUUGUCCAGAGAUGACUCUCGCUGGCUGUGCUGUGUUUGCUGUGUGCCUGGUAGGCACGCAUCUCAGUUAUUCUCACAUCUCUGCAGUAGGUAUCCUUCACCUUCCCAUGCAGAUGGAAUUGAAGCUCCAAGAGGGUAACCAACCGCCCAGACACAUUUGAAGUAGUGAGGCAGGGAUUUGAGCCCAGGUCUGGUCCCUGAGCCCAUGCUCUCUGUUCUGCUGUGCACCUUGGGUGAUCAGGGAAGCAGACCCAAGCUAGGGAAGAAGUCAUGUGGGCAGGGCUGAGGCACUGGAACAGAGUGGGUAACGCAGGAUCUUGGGAAUCUGACACACUGGGGUUCAAAUCCUGGCUCUGCCACUUCGUAGCUCUGUGAGCUUGGAAGUGACUUAAUUUCUCUGAUCCUUGGGUCCCCAUCUAUAAAAGAGGAGAGCCAUAACUACCCAGAGAGUGUAAGGAUGACAUGAGAAUGUAUAUAGAGCCUUGGCAUGGGCCCUGGGGUGUGAUGAGCAUUCAGUAAAUGCUGGCUGCUGUGGGCACAUGGGAAUUGCUGGGCACUUUCUCAUCCACUUGAUCUCCUUGGCUCUUAGGGAAGGCAGACGCUGGACGGCAGGUCUCUCAGACACAGGAGAGACCCUUAGCUUUAUUUAUCCACCCUGGGAUGUAUCCCUGGGAGCUGUGUAUCAAAAUUAUAGCCACUGAAGGUUGGAAGGACAAAGGGGAGGCUAGGCCUGGAUAUAGCAUCUUUACAGUGGUCCAACUUCCCUCUUGCUGGUGAUGUCCAAAGAGAAAGGCCAGCACAGCGGCUCAGAUGGGCGUAGCGGGACUGCCUGGAGGAGCCUAUGCAGUGGGCUUGGGCAGGGUCCAGAGUUACUGGUGGCGGGGGUGGACGCUGUCAGUGUCUCCCCCAGACUCCACUGAACCUUUUAUAUCAGGUGCCCUAGAGUAGCACCUGUUUACCUAGACCUGCCUUCCAGAGACACUGUCUCCCCACCUUGUGAGCUCCUGGCUGCCAUGACCUCCGCACUUGCCCUGAGAGGCUGUGAGGAUGAAAUGCUGAUGUACAUGAAGCUCUUAGCCUAAUACUUCACAUUCAGCGAGCGCCCACCUUCUGACUGUGGCCAUUAAUUUGUGGAUUCAAGUAAUGUUUUAGGUUGAGAGGUCAUAGUUAUGAAGAAAACAGUCCCCACCCUCAUGGAGGUCACACGCUAGUAGGGAAGAUGGAUGAGAAACAUGUAAGCAAGUAGAUUUGAUUGUAAUAUUGGAGUGAAGAACAGUAAAGCAGGGAGAGGGAACAAAGACAUCGUUGGUGUGGCUGGGAAGGAAGGCUUUUAUUGGGAGAUAACAAGUGAGCAGAGACCCUGGGGAUAUGGAGGUGCCAAUCAUGAGAAUGUUGGGGGAGGCCAGGUGCGGUGGCUCAUGCCUGUAAUCCCAGCACUUUGGGAGGCCGAGGCGGGUGGAUCACUUGAGGUCAGGAGUUCGAGACCAGCCUGGCCAACAUGGUGAAACCCUGUUUCUACUAAAAAUACAAAAAUUAGCCAGGUGUGGUGGUAUGCCUGUAAUCCCAGCUACUGGGGAGACUGAGGCAGGAGAAUCACUUGAACCCAGGAGGCAGAGGCUGCAGUGAGCGGAUAUCAUACCACUGCACUCCAGCCUGGGCGACAGAGCAGGACUCUAUCUAGACAGACAGACAGGUAGGUAGAUAGAAUUAAUGUUGGGGAGCAUCCCAGCAGAGCCUCCAGGUGGGACUGAAUCUGGUACAACAAGACAGAGAGGAGGGAUAACUAGGAAAUGAAGCCAGGGUGGAGGCUACCAGGUCACAUAGGACCUUAUUGUUUUCAACAAUCAUUAUUUCUAGAUGUCGCUGGGCAGGAUCAGCUGUUCCUUCUCUUGUGCUAUUCUGCGUGGUAUGCACACAGCCAUUGUAGCAAGUCACCCUUUGUUAGGACUGUGUAUUUUACCACCACACUGGGAGCUCUGGAGGCCAGGGACUAUGGCUGUUUUGCAUAUACCCAGCACCUAGCAUGGGAACUGUUUAUCGAAAUUAUAGCCACUGAAGGUUGGAAGGACGAGGGGGCAACCAGGCCUGGGUAUGGUAUCCUUAGAGUGGUCCAACUUCCCUCUUCCUGGUGAUGUCCAAAGAGGAAGGAGCAUGGAGUCUGUGCUUCACACAUUUAAAGAUAAUGAAUCUUAGUGGCAAUGGAUGCUGUCUAUUGGGGGUUUCUGUGUGCUAUCCACAGCAGUUAGCAUUUUAUAUUUCAUUGUCUCAUUGAAUCAAUACAAUAGGCUUGGCCCCAAAGUGUCAUCUCCAUUUUACGGAUGAAGAAAUAAGCUGUAGAGGCCGUCCCAUGCCCCAAGCACACACAGCUAGGAACUUGCUGAGCUGAGAUUUGAAGCCAGGACUCUAAGGACCACACUUUCAACUCUGACCAAGCUGGAAGGUCGACUGCCUCCGGCAGGGGCUUGGCCCAGGCCUGCCCUUCCAAGGGCUGUGGUGUUUACUGCCGAGGGUUUUGGCAUCCUUCGGCCUUCUUGGUCCCUCAGGGGUCACCUUGCACCCCAGCCUUCCCUGUAGUAUCCCACGGAGCCUGAGGGGCUGUCCCUCAGACUUCCUCACAGCUUUGUAAUCCACAAAUGGAAAAGUGGCACUUAAAAUGAAUUUAUUCAGGUGGGAGCUGUGUAAGACAUGAAAAUAAGGCUUUUGAGCUCCUCCACAUAAACUUGAGUGUAAAUGAAAAGCUUUUUAUUUGGUUUCUGAGCCAGACUUUGAGAAGCCAGUGGUCCGUGCGGUCUGGAAGCGCAUGUUAUGGGCGCUGGGUCGGAACAGGGGCCACUUUGAAUGGCAAGGAGGGAGAAUCGCUCCAGCGAAGCUGGAACGGCCAAGAAGCUGGGAUGUCAAUAAACACAGGCAGGACACAGAAAGCCUUUUCCGAAGAGAUGGAAGGCGGGGAAGCGAAGGAAAGGCAGUGCCUCACUCCCGGUGCAUUUGAGAAGGAAAAUGCUUGAGGUAACCCGUGUUGGCAGCUUUUAUAGCUUCCUCUCGAUAAUGUGCUGGGCAGACCCUGAACAGGCUGGUGUUUUAUUUUCGUGUAACGAAGCCGAGUGGACCAGGGGCAGCUCUCCAGCAAUGGCUGGCCUGGGGCUGUGCUCACGGAGAGAGGCAGGGCUACCUGAGACCUGGGGCAGGGGCCAGCCUCCUGCCUGCUGGGCAAACUGUGGGGAAGGCGGGGACCAGGAUUUCUGACUUCCUCUGGAUGAUGUUUGGUUUGUCACAAUCCUUAGACGUAAGGCCCCUUUAUGUCCAGUGCCAGUGAGGGAGGUGGCAGGCAGCCGUGGGAAGGCAACUGCUCUGAGAAGGAGGGCACAGGUCCACGCUGUCUAAAUGUUACUGGUUGUGAACUACACAGGAACCUUAGCAUGGGGAACCCACAGAAAGGUCUUUGUGCCCUUUGCUGCCUUUUGCCAAGGUACUUUCUGUGACUAGAUUUACCUUGCAUUUAUAUUCUCUUCUCUUUGGUAAUAUGUACAUAUGUGUGUGAGGUAUAUUUGGACCUGGGAUUAUGUGUGUGGUUAAAAAUAUACAUCAGUACGUUAGUGACCUGCAUAGGUGCAUUAAGCAAUGUAUUUUGAGAGCCAUGGGCUGGAAGGAAACACCCAACUAGCUACUUUGAGACACUAGCAAAGCCCAAAGUAAUUCUGUUAGAUGAGCGUAUGAGCUACUGUUUUAUAUGUUUGUUACAGAUUUUUUCUUCCUGUUUUCUCCUGGAUAUUAUGUGAAAACAAUGUAUGUAUUUAAACAAAAUUUUAAAUUUCAAUCUUAAGAAUUUCAGGGUUGGUUUGUUUGUUUGCUUUGAGAUGGAGUCUCAUUCUGUCACCCAGGCUGGAGUGCAGUGGUGCGAUCUCGGCUCACUGAAACCUUUGCCUCCCAGGUUCAAGUGAUUCUCCUGCCUCAGCCUCCCAAGUAGCUGGGACUACAGGCGCGCUCCAUCACGCCCAACUAAUUUUUUGUAUUUUUAGUAGAGAUGGGGUUCCACUGUGUUAGCCAGGCUGGUCUUGAUCUCCUGACCUUGUGAUCCGCCUGCCUUGGCCUCCCAAAGUGCUGGAAUUACAGUCGUGAGCCACCGCACCCAGCAAAUUUCAGGGUUUUUUUCAACCCAUGUUUAUUUUGAAAAAUUGAAAAUAUCAGGAAAAAUAAGAAGAUAAAAGUCUUCUGCAAUGCUAUCAUUCAAAUAAUUGCUGCUGUUCUUUAGGUAUUUGUAUGCUCUUCCAGACAUGUUCCUAAUGAGUAUAUAUUAAUGUAAAAUAAAAUAUCAAUGGCGAACAUUUGAGUGUUACCAUUUGCCAGCAUUUUGCAUGUAGGGACUCACUUCAUCCUCAACAAUUCAAUGAUUGGUUUUAUUAUUAAACUCAUUGUACAGAUGAGAAAGCCGAAGCCCAGAAUGAUUACCUUUCUUAAGAUCACAUAGGUAAGUAGCCAAGCCAGGAUUUGAACACAGGCAGUCUGGUUCCAGAGCCUGUGCUCUUAAGGCACUUGCUAUACUAACUUGCAAAAGAAUUCGGAGAAUACUAUCCAUACCAAUUUGUAACCCGUUGUUUUUCCCACUCAAAAUAUUAUGAACUCCCUUCCAUGCCAAUAACCUUAUAUCUAGAACAUCAUUUAAAAUGGCUCCGUUGUGAUGCAUACAUCCCCAAAAUGCAAUGCUGCAAUGCUGUUUCCCUUUGUGGCUGUUUUGGGUAAUAAUAACAAUUAAACUUAAAAAUAGCAAAUAUUGAGGUUCUGUGUCUGGUGCUGUCCUAAGACCUGUUUACAUCUCAUCUAAUUUAAUCCUUGUGAUAACUCAGGCUUCUUACAGGGGAAGAAGUUAGGGAAGAACAGGAAGAAAUUUGCCAUGACAUCUUCCUUACAUAAAACCUCAAGGUUAGAUUUUUGACAUCGUCUUCAAAUAAAAUUAUAUAUGUAAUAAUGUUUUUGUGUAUUUGUUAAUUUUUUUAAACUUCUUAUUUGGAAAUAAUUUGACUCACAGGAAGCUGCAAAAAUAGUACAGAGAAUUCCCGUGUUCCCUUCACCCAGCUUCCCCCAAUGAUAUCUUAAAUAACUAGUAUGCAUCAAAACCAGGAAAUCGACAUUAGCGUUUCCUGUUAGCUCAGGUUGUAUAUUUGUUACUAAUUUUUUUUUUUUUUUGAGAUGGAGUUUCGCUCUUGUUGCCCAGGCUGGAGUGCAAUGGUGCUAUCUCAGCUCACUGCAACCUCCGCCUCCCCGGUUCAAGCAAUUCUCCUGCCACAGCCUCCCAAGUAGCUGGGAUUAUAGGCACCCAUCAACACGCCUGGCUAAUUUUUUGUAUUUUUAGUAGAGAUGGGGGUUUUCAUCAUGUUGGUCAGGCUGGUCUCGAACUCCUGACCUCAGGAGAUCUGCCUGCCUUGGUCAUCCAAAGUGCUGAGAUUACAGGUGUGAGCCACCAUGCCUGGCCUAAAAUUUUUCUUUAAACACUUAAAAUACGUCACACUAUGAUAAUCUAACUUUUCUGUUCUUUGUUGUGAAGUAUACAGGAGCCUCUAAGUGGAAGUGGCUCAGGGCUCUCUCCUGGCCUUUGAGAGGUUAACACUAUUAUUUGCUCCAUUCAACCAGCAAGGGAUUGGAGGUCUAGGGAGGCUGUCACUUGCACAAGGUCACACAGCUGUAGUAAACUUCUGAGUUUGGACUUAGCCCCUCUGCUUCUAAAAUCCCCUCUCUGAACCUCAUACUCUCCAGCAUCUCUUCUAGUUUUUUGCUGUUCUUUGCUACUCAGGCUGAGGCCCCGAAUAUAAGUAGAUGUGUGUUAAUAAGUGUCUGUGCAUGCAUGUACAUAUACACAGACAUUUCCCCUGCUCUCUAGAGUCCCUUCUCCCAGACUGGAGAAUGCUGAACUGAAGAGGACCUCAGGUAUUGAGCACAUAAUCCUGACUCCUUAUUAAACGGGAUGGGAGGAUCAGGCCAGCUUGGGGACCAUCUGCUGUGUCCUGUGUGGCCUAUCCCCAAGGGCUCUGGGCCAUAUUCUCCUGUAAAUCCUCUGCCUUAUUCUCAUGGUUGCCUCUCCCCAACUCUCCUCCAGUUGCCCCUUUUGCCCAACUUCCAGCCACCUGGCUCUGCAUGCUGUCAGUUCCAUGCUUGGGUGGCAGUGGGUUUAGCCUGAGAUGCCUGGACUUCACUCUCGCAUUGCUUCUGUUAUCCUCCAGCCUCUGUGCCCCAUGGCCAGUGACUGAGACACGAGAAAAGGAGAAAAAGCCACAUGUAUAGGAAAGACCUAGGAGAAGAAAUUUCUCUAAAGUCCCCUCUAGAGGAAAAGAUAUUUUUACCUCCACCCCAGUCACUCCCUCUCUUUUGUUGCCUUCUCUUCCCCUUUUAUUCAUAGCUGUAGGUGCCAGCCCAAUCCACUUUUGUAACCCAAAAAGCAGACAAAGGCCUCUGCCCUUGCCUUCCCAGACACAGUCAUGGUCUCAUGAUCUGCCAACCUAAGCAGGGCUGGCAUGUGGGAUUUAAGUAGCUCUGUCCAAGCUUUUACAGGAGUCUGCGCUUGGAAUUGUCAGAGUGCAGAGCAGUGUUGUUCUAGAUCCCUACCACCCACUUCAGAAAAACCAGAUGUGCCUGCCACUCUAGGUUGACCUGACAGUUGUUUGCACGUGUGUGCAUGUGUAUGAGAGCAACUGACAGCGUAUGUGCGUACCUAGUGGCCUGUGUGGGCCUCCUGAACAUAGAACUAAGCACUCGCUUGCUGAGCCCUGUGGCUGCUUUUGGUAGAAAAGUGACCCCAGGGCCAGGAGCUGCACCUGGUAGAGACCAGGGUGGGAGAUUGAUGAGUUUGCAGGAGUGCUGCCUGGAAGGUCUGGGAGCGCUGGUCUGUGAGCUAAGCAGGGGUUGCUAAGCAGCAUCGCCACCCCUAACCUCAUGGCACGCUGGCUCCUGCCCUUGCCAUCCUCUGAAGCAGGUAGUAGGGCUACAUUUCCUAACAGGAAGCCCGUCAGGCUGAGAGAAGGGGAAAGAGAGAGGAGUAACUUGCUUUCCCCCUUGGACCUGAACUUCCUUAGCUCCUCAAAGCUUGGUCUGCUGUUGAGAUCUCUGGUGUGCAGGGGUGAACAGCUACCCUCCCUAAACAUGUGGUGGGUUAUAGAGAGAACAUUCCAGGACUACAGGUGACAGUCAGGUGCCUGCCAGAGAGGGGCUUUCCAAAGGACAGCUAAGUAAGGGAAAUCCUAUCUACCUUGUGAGUAUAUCUGGACUCUUUGCAUUUGUCACCACUUCUGUUACCACUACCUUGGCCCAAGCCACCAUUAUCUUUUGCCUAGAUUAUUGCGGUCAGUUCCUAACUGCUUCUACUGCUGACCUGCCAUUCUCAACAUGGCAGUCAGAAUGAUCCUUCUAAAGUAUUAUCAAGCCAGGCACUGUAGCUCAUGCCUCUAAUCUCAGCACUGUUGGAAGGCCAAGGUGGGAAAAUAGCUUGAACACAAAAAUUUAAGACCAGCCCGAACAACAUAGCGAGACCCUGUCUGUAAAAAAACUUUAAAAAAAUAAUCUAGGUGUGGUGGCACAUGCCUGUAGUCGUAGCUACUUGGGAGGCUGAGGUGGGAGGCUUGAGCCGGGGAGGUUGAGGUUGCAGUGAGCCAUGAUUGCACCACUGAACUCCAGCUUGGGUGACAGAGUGAGAACCUGUCUCAAAAAAAAAAAAAAAAAAAAAAAGGAUCAGUAGGUCCCGUCACUCUGCUCAAAAUCCUUCAAUGGCUGCACAUGCCACUCAGAAUAAAAGCCAGAGUCUUUAAAACGGCCUUAUGAAGCUCGGCCUAAACUGGCCUGUUGCUGCUUUGACCUCACGUCCUGUCACCUGCCCUUUGCUCAUUCUAUUUCAGUUGUACUGCCCUCCUUGUUGUUGCUACAACAUUCUAGACUUGUUACCUAGAAUAAUUUAUUUGUUGUUCCCUUUGCCUAGAAUACUUUCUCCCCUGCUACCUACAAGCCUUACUUUUACCUCUAUAUUAGGUCUUUGUUAAAGUGUCUCCACUCCAUCUAAAUUUUCAUUCCUUUCACUACAUUCCUUAUCCCGCUCCCCUUCAUUGCUUUCCUCCCGACCUCUUGUUGCCAUCUGACUUACUAGUAUUUUGCUUUUUUAUGUUGUGGUUUCUGUUUAAAAUGUAAGCUCCAUGGAGGCAGGGAUAUUUGUUUAUCUUCUUUACCGCUGUAUCCCUGGCAUUUAGGACAGUACCCUGUGCAUAGGAGAGGCUAAGACAUAUUUUCAAAUGAAUAAUAAAUAAGUCCAUAUUGGUGAAUCAUUUAAGAUUCAAUUUAGAAAUAAUGAACCUUCAAAUCCAUGAACAUGGUAAACCUCUACACUUGGCUAGAUCUUUAUUAAUCUUUUAGCCAUAGUUUGUAGUUUUCAGUGUACAAGCUAUGCAUAUUUCUGUUAAACUUAUAGAUAAGUAUUUUAAGUUUUUAAAAAUGCUAUCACAAAUGGUAUUUUAAAUUUCACAUUCCAGUUGUUUAUUGCUGAUCUGUAGAAAUGCAGUUUACUGUUGCAUAUUAUUUUGACUUUGUAUUCUGCAACUUUGCUAAAUUUACUUAUUAGUUCUGGUAAUUUUUUGGUAGAUUCCAUAGGAUUUUCUACAUAUACAAUAAUGUAGUCUCCAAAUGAGGAGUUUGACUUUUCUUCUAAUUUUUAUGAUUUUUAUUUCCUUCUGUGGUUUUAUUUCCCUGGCCUGGAAUCUAGUACAAUGUUGAAUAGAAGUGGUGAGAGUGGACAUUUUUGCCUUAUUCCUAUAUAUAGGCAAGUGCUUUCUCUCUCUCUCAUCUGUCUCUAUUUCUCUCUCUCUGCGUGUGUGUGUGUGUGUGUGUGUCCAUUACUCUUUAGCAAAUUUACAGUUGCCUGCACUUACCUAAGCCAAGCUCACAAAGGUUUUUCUCCUAUGUUUUUUUUCUAAAAGUGUGAUAAUCUUAAGUUUUAUAUUUGGGUCUAUGAUCCAUCUCCAGGAGGCAUUUUGGACACUGAUGAGGGCAUUGUUGUUUGUCAAAGUGACAGGGGAGGGGUUUAACCAGCAAUGGAUUGGCAGGAAUGCUAGAUGUACAAGAAAUACACCCACCAUAACAAAAAGCCUCAUGACUCAUAUGACCAUCAAAUGUCCUACCAAACAUUUAUAUAGGCAAAAUGUUUAUAAUUAUAUAGAUAUCUAUUUAGCUUUCAUUUCAAAAUACCAAAAAUUUUAAGGAAGAUUUUGACAAUAUUAAUAGAGUCUUUCCUUUCUUCUCUUAAAUCCAAAGUUUUUCCUUAAAAGCUCCUAUUUCAUUAUGUCUUUUAGUAUAUUUGUGCCUGUGAAUUUACAUAUUGAAUUAGAUAUUUUAUUAUAAACUCAUUUCCUUUCACUUCUUUAUAAUUCAAUUAUGGCAUUAAAUUAAUUUUUUAUCGUGUGUAGCUGGUUAUAUAUUAGCAACAUGAUGAGAUUAAAAACAUUGAGCUGAGUGAAAAAAGAUUGGAAUGACAUCUAUAAAAUACCACUUAUUAAAAUAUUAGCAUUUUAUAAUUAAAAGUUUUGGAAACCUACAUACAUAUUAACUAUACACAUCUUACAAGAACACGUAGGGAAAGAUGCACAUUACACACAUUAGGAUAGCUGCCUGAGGGAAGAAGAAAAUGGGAGUAGGGAAUGAGUUAGAACAGGAGAUAAUGACAUCACAGGAGAGCAGCCUUGCUCAGCCCAUCAAGGAGUAGACUUCAUCCCCUGCCCUGGAGCUCGGUUAAAAAAGAAAAUAUUUUGGCUAGGCACGGUGGCUCACUCCUGUAAUCCCAGCACUUUGGGAGGCUGAGGCGGGUGGAUCACGAGGUCAGGAGAUCGAGACCAUCCUGGCUAACAGUGAAACCCCGUGUCUACUAAAAAAUACAAAAAAUUAGUCGGGCGUGGUGGUGGGCGCCUGUAGUCCCAGCUACUUGGGAGGCUGAGGCAGGAGAAUGACGUGAACCUGGGAGGCGGAGCUUGCAGUGAGCUGAGAUCGCGC
rnacentral:lncRNA from 1 species